UUCGGAAUCACUGGGCUUAAAGGGUGCGUAGGCGGGCUGCCAAGUUUGAGGUGAAAUCCUCCGGCUCAACCGGGGAAGUGCCUUGAAUACUGGCGGUCUGGAGGGAGGUAGGGGCGUGCGGAACUAACGGUGGAGCGGUGAAAUGCGUUGAUAUCGUUAGGAACUCCGGUGGCGAAGGCGGCACGCUAGACCUCUUCUGACGCUGAGGCACGAAAGCCAGGGGAGCGAACGGG
rnacentral:rRNA from 1 species